UACGUAGGGGGCAAGCGUUGUCCGGAAUCAUUGGGCGUAAAGCGCGUGUAGGCGGGUCGGUAAGUCCGCUCUGAAAGCCCGGGGCUCAACCCCGGGAGGCGGGUGGAUACUGUCGACCUCGAGUCCGGAAGAGGCGAGUGGAAUUCCUGGUGUAGCGGUGAAAUGCGCAGAUAUCAGGAAGAACACCAACGGCGAAGGCAGCUCGCUGGGACGGUACUGACGCUGAGACGCGAAAGCGUGGGGAGCGAACAGG
rnacentral:rRNA from 1 species